CGGAUUUCUGGAGAACUCCUUAAGUGGAGUGCCGAAGGUGCAAGUCGGAAGACGAAUCUCUCAGGCAAACGGACAGAAAG
rnacentral:ncRNA from 1 species